GAAGUUAAUUUUUCGUAAGCGAGUCGAGGAAAUACUGCGAUUCGGCCUCGAUCUCGACAACGGUGUUAAAUCGGUGACCUUUGAGCUGUAUUUUCAUCUUG